GGGGGGAGUGCAGGAACCUGGGCUGUGCCCCCUGGACGUCCUGGGCUGCAGGGCCUGCACCGCAGGAAUCAAGCUCCUGUGGCCCGCGCAGCCCCCU
rnacentral:pre_miRNA from 1 species